AUUGAACGCUGGCGGCAGGCUUAACACAUGCAAGUCGAGCGAGCGGCGGACGGGUGAGUAAUGUCUGGGAAACUGCCUGAUGGAGGGGGAUCACUACUGGAAACGGUAGCUUAUUACGCAUACCAUCUGAUGUGCCCAGAUGGGAUUAGCUAGUAGGGGGGGUAAUGGCUCACCUAGGCGAGGAUUCCUAGCUGGUCUGAGAGGAUGACCAGCCAAACUGGAACUGAGAAACGGUCCAGACGCCUACGGGAGGCAGCGGUGGGGAAUAUUGCACAAGGGGCGAAAGCCUGAGGCAGCCAUGCCGCGUGUGUGAAGAAGGCCUUCGGGUGGUAAAGCACUUUCAGCGGGGAGGCGUUACUCGCAGAAGAAGCAACGGCUAACUCCGUGCCAGCAGCCGCGGUAAUAC
rnacentral:rRNA from 1 species